rnacentral:hammerhead_ribozyme from 1 species
GUAUUGAUGAAGAGUCCCAAACUGGGACGAAACAGCUGUCCAGUAC